rnacentral:rRNA from 1 species
UACGUAGGUGGCAAGCGUUGUCCGGAUUUAUUGGGUUUAAAGGGUGCGUAGGCGGCUUUGUAAGUCAGUGGUGAAAUACUCUAGCUUAACUAGAGGGGUGCCAUUGAUACUGCAGAGCUUGAGUACAGAUGAGGUAGGCGGAAUUGACGGUGUAGCGGUGAAAUGCGUAGAUAUCGUCAAGAACACCGAUAGCGAAGGCAGCUUACUGGGCUGUAACUGACGCUGAUGCACGAAAGUGUGGGGAUCAAACGGG